AAAGAAACUAACAAGGAUUCCCCUAGUAACGGCGAGUGAAGAGGGAAGAGCUCAAAUUUUAAAUCUGCCUUGUUCCAAGGUCGAGUUGUAAUUUGAAGAAGCGUUUUCUUGGGCUCGCGGCCGGUAGAAGUUCUUUGGAACAGGACAUCAUAGAGGGUGACAAUCCCGUCCGUGACCGGUCGUGCGUUCAUCUACGAUACGCUUUCAAAGAGUCGAGUUGUUUGGGAUUGCAGCUCCAAACGGGUGGUAAACAUCACCUAAGGCUAAAUAUUGGCGAGAGACCGAUAGCGAACAAGUACCGUGAGGGAAAGAUGAAAAGAACUUUGAAAAGAGAGUUAAACAGUACGUGAAAUUGUUGAAAGGGAAACGAUUGAAGUCAGUCGUGCUGGCGCGAAAUCAACCCUCUCGUCUUGAGAUCACAUGGCGCGACGAGCCUCAAAACCGUCACGAAGCGUGAACUCUUGACGAAAAGGUGCACUUUCGUGUCCGCUGGUUAACAUCAAUUUCGAACGUCAUAAAAAGGCUGGAGGGAUGUGGCUCCUUCGGGAGUGUUAUAACCUUUAGCGGAAUGUGGCGUUCGGGAUUGAGGAUUGCAACGAAUACCUUCAGGGCUGUUCCACCUGGCUUCUCAUUGGUAUCCUGGUGACGACAGCUUGCUGACGUCGUUAGGAUCAGCUUCUGAACAGGCUAGAGUGUGAGCAAAUUCGUUAAGGAUGUUAACGUAAUGGCUUUAAACGACCCGUCUUGA
rnacentral:rRNA from 1 species